AAGUCGUAACAAGGUUUCCGUAGGUGAACCUGCGGAAGGAUCAUUAACACGUAUCCAAACGUUAAACCCCCCUGUGAACCUUCAGUCGUACUCGUACGUCCGUUAGAAAUUCAGGGACGUCUGCAAGGAGCGUGCAUGUUGUGCGUGUAAGUGGCCUGGCAUCCCCAAGCAGUUAGUGUCUGAAAGUGUCACUAACGUUAGUGUCUGAAAGUGUCACUAACAUGUGUAAGGAUGACGCAGUCACGAUCGUUGGAGGCCCACACGGCCGACGACCGGGUCACUGGGUGCAAGCCCCUUUAUCACACCCCUGCUCUAUCUAUGGUGAUCCUGCGGGAAGUCCUGCGGUCGAACGCCGAAACCGAACAACUGUUAACAAUGGAUAUCUUGGUUCUC
rnacentral:misc_RNA from 1 species